GAUGAACGCUGGCGGCGUGCUUAACACAUGCAAGUCGAACGAAGAGGCCCAGCUUUUGUGGGGUGUUCGUGGGGAGCGGGUGAGUAACACACGAGCAUACCGCCCCCGUGUCUGGGGGAAACCCUGAAGACAGCGGCGAAUAUAGGAGAUAUCCGGUCCUGCUACGGGGUGGGGGUUGGAAGAUUUCGGCGGUUGGGGAUGGCCUCGCGGCUUAUCAGCUUGUUGGUGGGGUAGUGGCUAACCAAGGCUCGGACGGGUAGCCGGCCUGAGAGGGUGACCGGCCACACUGGGACUGAGACACGGCCCAGACUCCUACGGGAGGCAGCAGUGGGGAAUAUUGCACAAUGGGCGGAAGCCUGAUGCAGCAACGCCGCGUGCGGGAUGACGGCCUUCGGGUUGUAAACCUCUUUUGGCAGGGAAGAAGCGAAAGUGACGGUACCUGCAGAAGAAGCACCGGCUAACUACGUG
rnacentral:rRNA from 1 species